UACGUAGGGGGCGAGCGUUGUCCGGAUUUAUGGGCGUAAAGAGCUCGUAGGCGGUUUGGCAAGUCGGGUGUGAAAACUCCGGGCUCAACUCGGAGACGCCACUCGAUACUGCUAUGACUCGAGUCCGGUAGGGGAGUGCGGAAUUCCUGGUGUAGCGGUGAAAUGCGCAGAUAUCAGGAGGAACACCGGUGGCGAAGGCGGCACUCUGGGCCGGAACUGACGCUGAGGAGCGAAAGCGUGGGGAGCGAACAGG
rnacentral:rRNA from 1 species